UAGGUGGGGAAAAUAAAAGGAAAAACACUCCCUGGUAGCAAUAAGAUGCUGGCCAGGUAUCCUCAAUCUCUCCUGACUGGUCCUAGCCAAGAGCUGAAUACAGCCCAGGGAAGGUUAAGUCUUGUCCAGUACAUCAUGUGAGCAAGGUCGGGGAUGGUGCAAAUGAUAUUCCGUUGGUGUCGGGGAGGCAAAUAGUGUGCAAAAACAAAGAAGGGAGAGAAAAUGAUACAGCCAAUCCAGUUGUGGUAAGAAUGAAGGUGGUGCAGCCAGAUGGUGUCAUGAUGAGUAUGGCGAAUCGCAGUAGCUAUCACAUAGCCACCUUACCUUUCCAGAAUCUCCAGCCCGUUCAUGGAAAGACAACACUUUUUGUAAUGAUACAGCAACAUUUUAGCUUGAAAUGGCUGGAGAAAGAAAACCUGAAUAGGAUUAUAAAGUGCAGUCUGUUUAGCCACCAUAUCUGAAAAAGAAAAUUCCUUUGAAAUGUAGUAGUCAUCAGAAUUGUGGGUGGAACAUUUAAUCACUGAUGUUUGCUUUGGUAGUACAACAGCCAACCUACAAAAAUGCAUUUUUGACAGAACCUGAUGAUAUAAACGAUCCUUUUUCCCUCUACAGUGUCCCAAACACAUGAACUAAACCACACUCAUAAUGUGAGUCUGUGAAAAUAACCAUUUUAUUCUUUGGUAGUGAUUCUGAUGAAAUCCUUGCUUGUAUAUAGGACAAAAGCACUCAAUAAAUUUCACUUUUUAAGCUU